UCUUCCUUGUUUCUUCCUUCGCCGUCUCUUUCCACUAAACUCUCAAGUCUUGGGCACCACGUUACCUCCGCCCCACGGAACACUGUUUUGCUUUUCACUCUCUUUCUUUGACUUCUUCAGUCUUCUGCGCCCAGCUUUCCGUUCUUUAUAACCUUAAAGUUUUCAUCUUCACAUUCUCCAUUCUCAAGAUAAGCCAAAUUUUCUCUCCAUUUUGACACCAUGUUCUCUUUUUCCUCACUCCUUUCUCUCAUGCACCCUGUCGCUGAUAUUCUCCUCAAACCCAUUUUUCUUAGUGCCUUAUCAGCCUCCAUCCACCUUCUGUUACUGUUGGUGCUUUUGCUGUCAUGGGUUUGGAGCAAAGUCACACUUGCGGCAGAACCGAGGGGAGAAGAGUCUGGUGAGAAGGAGAGACCAAGUAACAGCAAAACGACUGUCUUUGGUUCUGUGGCUCUUUCUGGCUUUAGUCUCAUUCUCUGUUUGUUAAAUUUCUUCUACUGGUACACGAGUGGCUGGUCAGAACCAGAAAGUGUAUUGAUUGUGACCCUUUUCGAUUUAGCGCUCAAAACGCUUGCUUGGGGCGUUGUUUCUGUUUCCCUGCACAAGGGGUGCUUAAAGUUCUCGUUUUUCUUCAGAGGUUGGUGCGUUUUGUACUUGUUUGUUUCUUGCUAUUCCUUCGUGGUGGACAUUGUUGUUGUUCGUGGAAGGCCAGGUCAGUACUUGGUUGAUGAUGUUGUGUCCACUUGUGCCGGGUUGUUCUUCUGUUACGUGGGGUACUUUCUGAUGAACAAGGGUCACGUUCAGGUUCAGGAGAAUGAUGAUAGUAACGGUAUUCGGGAACCUCUUUUGAAUGGUGAUGCAAAAGAGACCAAGGGUGGGGACUCUGUUACCCCUUUCUCUAAUGCUGGAAUUUUCAGUAUUCUCACUUUCUCUUGGAUGGGUUCUCUUAUUGCUGUUGGCAAUAAGAAGCCCUUGGACCUUGAGGAUGUUCCUCAACUAGACCCAGGAGAUAGUGUAGUUGGUGCUUUUCCAAGUUUCAGGGAAAAACUUGAGGCUUAUUGUGGUGGUGCAAAUGCAAUCAAUAGUGUCACCACAUUUAAGUUGGUGAAGGCGUUAGUGUGGUCAGCGUGGAAGGGGAUUCUCUUCACAGCUUUUCUUGCAUUUUUGAACACCUUGGCUUCUUAUGUUGGUCCUUAUCUCAUUGAUGCUUUUGUUCAAUACCUUGAUGGAAGACGCCAGUAUGAAAACCAGGGCUAUGUUUUGGUUUCUGCCUUUUUCUUUGCAAAGCUUGUAGAGUGUCUCACCCAAAGGCAUUGGUUCUUUAGGUUGCAGCAAAUUGGAAUUCGGAUUAAUGGGCUGCUUGUCUCGUUGAUCUUUAAUAAGGCUCUCACCCUUUCUUGUCAAUCAAAGCAGGUCCACACUUCUGGGGAGAUAAUCAAUUUCAUGACUGUUGAUGCUAAAAGAGUCGGUGCCUUCUGUUGGUACAUGCAUGAUUUGUGGAUGGUGGUUCUGCAAGUUACGUUGGCCUUGUUGAUUCUGUAUAAAAACCUUGGCCUUGCUUCAAUUGCUGCUCUUGUCACAACUGUUGUUGUUAUGUUGGCAAAUGCUCCUUUGGGAUCAUUGGGGGAGAAGUAUCAAAAUAAGUUAAUGGAGUCGAAGGAUACACGAAUGAAGGCCACUUCUGAGAUUUUAAGAAAUAUGAGGAUCCUUAAACUACAAGGAUGGGAGAUGAAGUUUCUAUCCAAAAUAACUGAGCUCAGGAAAACGGAGCAAGGCUGGUUAAAAAAAUAUGUUUAUACAGCAGCCAUAACCACAUUUGUGUUUUGGGGUGCGCCCACACUUGUUUCUGUGGUUACUUUCGGUACUUGUAUGCUUUUAGGGAUCCCCCUUGAAUCAGGGAGGAUCUUGUCUGCCCUUGCAACGUUCCGGAUUCUUCAAGAGCCCAUUUAUAAUCUUCCUGAUACAAUUUCAAUGAUAAUACAGACUAAGGUUUCUCUGGAUAGGAUUGUGUCAUUCCUUCGUCUUGAUGAUUUGCAGCCUGAUGUUGUAGAGAAGCUUCCUUGGGGUAGUUCUGAUACAGCAAUUGAAGUAGUUGAUGGAAACUUUUCUUGGGAUUUGUCUUCCCCUAACCCAACAUUGCAAAAUAUAAAUGUCAAAGUUUUACAUGGAAUGAGGGUUGCUGUUUGUGGUACUGUUGGAUCGGGCAAGUCUACUUUACUUUCUUGUGUAUUGGGAGAAGUACCAAAGAUAUCAGGCACUCUUAAGGUUUGUGGAACAAAGGCUUAUGUUGCUCAAUCUCCAUGGAUACCGAGCGGAAAGAUAGAGGAUAAUAUAUUGUUUGGUACACACAUGGAUAGAGAAAGGUACGAGAAGGUACUUGAAGCUUGUUCCUUGAAGAAGGAUUUGGAGAUUUUGUCAUUUGGUGAUCAAACAGUUAUAGGAGAACGUGGAAUAAAUUUGAGUGGUGGACAGAAACAAAGAAUACAAAUUGCACGUGCUCUUUACCAAGAUGCUGAUAUAUAUCUAUUUGAUGAUCCUUUUAGUGCUGUGGAUGCUCACACUGGCUCUCACCUCUUUAAGGAAUGUCUGUUGGGCCUUUUAAGUUCAAAGACAGUGGUUUAUGUCACUCAUCAAGUGGAGUUCUUACCUGCUGCUGACCUUAUAUUGGUCAUGAAAGAUGGAAAAAUUACUCAAUGUGGAAAGUAUAAAGAUCUUCUUAAUAGUGGUACUGAUUUCAUGGAACUCGUUGGUGCACACAAAAAAGCUUUGUCUACACUAGAUUCGUUGGAUGGAGUGACAACAUCUAAUGAAAUAAAUACCUUGGAACAUGGUGUAAAGGUCUCGGACACCCAGGGUUUUAAAGAAAAGGCAAGCAAAGAUGAGCAAAGUGGUAAAAUAGACGAAAAAAGUGAACAAAAAGGCCAGCUUAUUCAAGAAGAAGAAAGAGAGAAAGGUAGAGUUGGCCUUUCAGUCUAUUGGAACUAUAUCACAACAGCAUAUGGAGGAGCUUUGAUACCAUUCAUAUUGUUAGCUCAGAUUCUUUUUCAAGCUCUUCAAAUUGGAAGCAAUUAUUGGAUGGCUUGGGCGACCCCCAUCUCAGAAGAUGUGGAGCCACCUAUUGAAGGAACGACUCUUAUAGUAGUCUAUGUUGGUUUGGCCAUUGGAAGCGCUUUCUGCGUCCUUGUUAGAGCAAUACUUCUUGUCACAGUUGGUUAUAAGACAGCUACUAUACUCUUCAAUAAAAUGCACUUCUGCAUUUUCCGUGCUCCAAUGUCGUUUUUUGAUUCCACUCCAAGUGGGCGAGUCCUUAACAGAGCUUCAACUGACCAAAGUGCUGUGGAUACAGACAUUCCUUAUCAAAUUGGGUCAUUUGCUUUCUCUUUGAUCCAGCUUUUUGGAAUUAUAGCAGUGAUGUCUCAAGCUGCAUGGCAGGUUUUCAUUGUCUUUAUACCUGUGAUAGCAGUCAGCAUCUGGUAUCAGCAAUAUUAUAUACCAUCAGCCCGAGAACUAUCACGUUUAGUUGGGGUCUGCAAAGCCCCAACCAUUCAACACUUCGCUGAAACAAUUUCUGGCACUUCAACUAUUAGAAGCUUUGAUCAGCAGUCAAGAUUUCGGGAAACAAAUAUGAAACUGAGUGAUGGGUAUUCUCGGCCAGUGUUCAAUAUUUCUGGUGCCAUGGAAUGGUUGUGCUUCCGCUUAGAUAUGUUGUCCGCUUUUACAUUUGCCUUUUCAUUAAUUUUCUUAAUAUCUAUUCCACCGGGAUUCAUAGAUCCAGGCCUUGCUGGUUUAAGUGUUACAUAUGGACUUAAUUUGAACAUGAUACAAUCUUGGGUGAUAUGGAAUCUCUGUAACAUGGAAAACAAAAUUAUAUCAGUAGAAAGAAUACUUCAAUAUACUCGUAUUCCUAGUGAGCCUCCUCUUUCUUUAGAAGAAAAUCAGCCAGAUCCUUCUUGGCCCUCACAUGGAGAGGUUGAUAUUCAAGAUUUGCAGGUUCGCUAUGCUCCACACCUUCCACUUGUGUUGCGUGGUCUUACAUGCAAAUUUCGUGGAGGACUGAAAACUGGCAUUGUUGGGAGAACAGGAAGUGGUAAAUCUACUCUCAUUCAAACACUUUUCCGAAUUGUUGAGCCUAGUUCAGGGCAAGUUAUGAUUGACAACAUCAACAUCUCUUCAAUUGGACUUCAUGAUUUGAGGUCUAGACUAAGCAUUAUUCCUCAAGAUCCAACAAUGUUUGAAGGGACAGUGAGAAGUAAUCUGGACCCCCUAGAAGAAUACACUGAUGAACAAAUUUGGGAGGCUCUGGAUAAGUGUCAACUUGGAGAUGAAGUUAGAAAGAAAGAAGGAAAGCUUGACUCCGCAGUUAGUGAGAAUGGUGAGAAUUGGAGUAUGGGUCAAAGGCAGUUGGUUUGCCUUGGUAGGGUACUGCUGAAGAAAAGCAAGGUUUUGAUACUUGAUGAAGCCACUGCAUCGGUUGAUACAGCUACAGAUAAUUUAAUCCAGCAAACUCUUAGGCAACAUUUUUCUGACUCCACAGUCAUUACUAUUGCACAUCGAAUAACUUCUGUUCUUGACAGUGAUAUGGUUCUGCUUCUUAGUCAAGGAGUUAUUGAGGAGUAUGACACCCCAUCAAAUUUGCUAGAGAAUAAGUCAUCUUCUUUUGCUCAACUUGUUGCAGAGUAUACCAUGAGGUCCAAUUCCAGUUUUGAGAAAUCUGUUGAUCACUGAUUGAAACAUACCAAAACAGAAGUUUCUUGACAAUGACGAUAAUCUGGAGGAUUACAGGAAUUUUGUGAAAUUUUUUAUAAGGCCUUUUAUUCUGCUGUGGAACACGGGCUGAAGCAAGAAAUGAUUUAGAAGGAAGAUUUAUAGUCUCUUUACAAGAUGAAGGAAAGAAAUUAAGAGGGAACGUUUGUAAUUUUGGAACACAAAAUCAAUGUAAUAUUGGAAUAAGAAUUGGAUUUUAAAUAAAUGCAUAUCAAGCUGUUCUAGAAGCUAAGUACUGCCAAAUUAUAAUUUUAUACAUUUGAUUUCACAUCUGGAUGGUAUGGACAUAUUAUAAUGCAAUCACAAAUUGAUUCAGAUAGCGAUUGACGACAUUAAGUGGAAUUGCUUCAAAGCAUCCAUCGAACUUCUUUCUAAAGAGAUGACGUCUCAAAGGUUCUGGUGAAGGCUCCCUCGGAAUUUUUCAAAAAGUUGCCGAGGCCAUCAAGGGGUGCUUCGAGUUGAUCCUUCGGCUGAUAAUUAACUCAUUAGAUUCUAUAAUCUCAAAGGUGUUUGAUAUUCUUAAAGAGAGCAUAAAAGGGUCGGUGGCUGCUUCAGGAACCGUGGCUGCAGAGCUCUCAGAGAAACUCAAGACUUCAAUUGACGACUCUUUGAAACAAGUGCCACAGCUAUUUGAGGAACUCUCAAAUAUGACGUCACAAAUGGUGACAGAAUUGUGGAACAACUGCAAGGGUGCUGUAGGAUAUGUUACAGAAAAUACUUGACUUUAAUUUUUGGAUCUAUUAUGUAUGAUUUGCUAUUUGAUCAUUUAGUGACAAUAGUCAAGGUGUCCAAACUCCAAAGUACAAACCUCUGGACAAAGUUGUAGCCCUUGUUAACCCUUUUGUAAAUUAUCAUAAGUAUUA